rnacentral:lncRNA from 1 species
GCGCGCAAGCAUGGGCUGGCAUGGCGAUAAACAGAGGCGUGAGGCGUGACCUUGCAAAACGAUCGGACUGCAAUGUGUAUGGAACGAGCAGCACUUACAAUGCUGCUAGUUUUGGGCAUCUUCUGGCGCCAAAAAAAGGCCGACUGACCGAAAUUAUGCCCUCCCGAAGCCGUGGAGACCGAUUUGCCAACCUCUGAUGGCAUCUGC